rnacentral:tRNA from 3 species
GGGCGAUUAGCUCAGGGGGAGAGCGCCACCUUGACACGGUGGAGGUCACUGGUUCGAUCCCAGUAUCGCCCACCA